rnacentral:ncRNA from 2 species
CGCCCGGCCGGAUCCCGUGGGGGGAAUCCGCUCCGGGACAUGGGAAGCGCCUCGCUGUCGGC